AGUGAACGCUGGCGGUAGGCCUAACACAUGCAAGUCGAACGGCAGCACAGUAAGAGCUUGCUCUUACGGGUGGCGAGUGGCGGACGGGUGAGGAAUACAUCGGAAUCUACUUUUUCGUGGGGGAUAACGUAGGGAAACUUACGCUAAUACCGCAUACGACCUACGGGUGAAAGCAGGGGAUCUUCGGACCUUGCGCGAUUGAAUGAGCCGAUGUCGGAUUAGCUAGUUGGCGGGGUAAAGGCCCACCAAGGCGACGAUCCGUAGCUGGUCUGAGAGGAUGAUCAGCCAAACUGGAACUGAGACACGGUCCAGACUCCUACGGGAGGCAGCAGUGGGGAAUAUUGGACAAUGGGCGCAAGCCUGAUCCAGCCAUACCGCGUGGGUGAAGAAGGCCUUCGGGUUGUAAAGCCCUUUUGUAAGGAAAGAAAAGCAGCAGGUUAAUACCCCGCUGUUCUGACGGUACCCAAAGAAUAAGCACCGGCUAACUUCGUG
rnacentral:rRNA from 1 species